rnacentral:rRNA from 1 species
GUGACCUCAAAUCAGGUAUGGACUACCCAGCUGAACUUAAGCAUAUCACAUAAUGCGGAGGAAAAGAAACUAACAACGGAUCUCCCCUAUGUAACUGCGAGUGAAGACGGGAAACAGCUACAAAUCUUAAAAUCUGGCGGUCUGUCUUGGCUGUCCGAGUUGUAAUCUAUGAGAAGUGUUAUCCGCGCUGGACCGUGUACAAGUCUCCUGGAAUGGAGCAUCAUACGAGGGUGAGAAUCCCAUCUUUGACAUGGACUGCCACGGC